AUUGAACGCUGGCGGCAGGCCUAACACAUGCAAGUCGAACGAGUGGCGGACGGGUGAGUAAUGUCUGGGCAACUGCCUGAUGGAGGGGGAUAACUACUGGAAACGGUAGCUAAUACCGCAUACCAUCAGAUGUGCCCAGAUGGGAUUGGCUAGUAGGUGGGGUAAUGGCUCACCUAGGCGACGAUCCCUAGCUGGUCUGAGAGGAUGACCGUCCAAAUUGGAACGGAGACACGUUCCAGACUCCUACGGGAGGCAGAAGUGGGGAUCAUUGCACAAGGGGCGAAAGCCUGAUGCAGCCAGGCCGCGUGUUUGAAGAAGUCCUUCGGGUGGUAAAGCACUUUCAGCGAGGAGGCGUUACUCGCAGAAGAAGCACCGGCUAACUCCGUGCCAGCAGCCGCGGUAAUUC
rnacentral:rRNA from 1 species